UGAACAUUUGCGAGCAUGAGUGCCAGUUAC
rnacentral:piRNA from 1 species